rnacentral:rRNA from 1 species
UAACACAUGCAAGCCGAGCGGUAGAGAUUCUUCGGAAUCUUGAGAGCGGCGUACGGGUGCGGAACACGUGUGCAACCUACCUUUAUCUGGAGGAUAGGCCUUUCGAAAGGGAAGAUUAAUACUCCAUAAUAUAUUUGAUGGCAUCAUUAAAUAUUGAAAGGCUCCGGCGGAUAGAGGAUGGGCACGCGCAAGAUUAGCUAGUUGGUGAGGUAACGGCUCACCAAGGCAAUGAUCUUUAGGGGGCCUGAGAGGGUGAUCCCCCACACUGGUACUGAGACACGGACCAGACUCCUACGGGAGGCAGCAGUGAGGAAUAUUGGUCAAUGGGUGCAAGCCUGAACCAGCCAUCCCGCGUGAAGGACGACUGCCUAUGGGUUGUAAACUUCUUUUGUAUAGGGAUAAACCUACUCUCGUGAGAGUAGCUGAAGGUACUAUACGAAUAAGCACCGGCUAACUCCGUG